AUUGAACGCUGGCGGCAGGCCUAACACAUGCAAGUCGAGCGGAUGAAGGGAGCUUGCUCCUGGAUUCAGCGGCGGACGGGUGAGUAAUGCCUAGGAAUCUGCCUGGUAGUGGGGGAUAACGUCCGGAAACGGGCGCUAAUACCGCAUACGUCCUGAGGGAGAAAGUGGGGGAUCUUCGGACCUCACGCUAUCAGAUGAGCCUAGGUCGGAUUAGCUAGUUGGUGGGGUAAAGGCCUACCAAGGCGACGAUCCGUAACUGGUCUGAGAGGAUGAUCAGUCACACUGGAACUGAGACCCGGUCCAGACUCCUACGGGGGGCAGCAGUGGGGAAUAUUGGACCAUGGGCGAAAGCCUGAUACAGCCAUGCCGCGUGUGAAGAAGGUCUUCGGAUUGUAAAGCACUUUAAGUUGGGAGGAAGGGCAGUAAGUUAAUACCUUGCUGUUUUGACGUUACCAACAGAAUAAGCACCGGCUAACUUCGUG
rnacentral:rRNA from 1 species